CGCGUAGGUGGUCUGUCAAGUCGGGGGUGAAAUCUUUCGGCUCAACCGGAAAACUGCCUUCGAUACUGACAGGCUGGAGGGAGGUAGGGGUUGCGGGAACUACCAGUGGAGCGGUGAAAUGCGUUGAUAUUGGUAGGAACGCCGGUGGCGAAAGCGCGCAACUGGACCUUUUCUGACACUGAGGCGCGAAAGCUAGGGGAGCAAACG
rnacentral:rRNA from 1 species